CAAUCGACAAAUUAUAUAAUCCAGAGUCAAAAGUGGGUAAUAUGAAGAUAGUCUAUUAAAUAGGAACUUUGAUUAUAAUUUGAUUAUAUUGUUUGUGUCUUCUGUGUCAGUUUUUGUCUCACCUGUUACAUUCUCCCCGACAUCAUGGUGAAGUGUAAUAUCAGUCACAUGAUGGUCAAGUGUACUGUCAGUAACAUAUGAUGGUCAAGUGUAAUGUCAGUAACAUAUCAUGGUCAAGUGUAAUGUCAGUCACAUGAUGGUCAAGUGCAAUGUCAGUAACAUGAUGGUCAAGUGUGUAAUGUCAGUAACAUAUCAUGGUCAAGUGUAAUGUCUGUAACAUAUGAUGGUCAAGUAUAAUGUCAGUAUCAUAUCAUGGUCAAGUGCAAUGUCAGUAACAUGAUGGUCAAGUGUAAUGUCAGUAACAUAUGAUGGUCAAGUGUAAUGUCAGUAACAUAUCAUGGUCAAGUGUAAUGUCAGUCACAUGAUGGUCAAGUGCAAUGUCAGUAACAUAUCAAGGUCAAGUGUGUAAUGUCAGUAACAUAUGACGGUCAAGUGUAAUGUCUGUAACAUAUCAUGGUCAAGUAUAAUGUCAGUAUCAUAUCAUGGUCAAGUGUAAUGUCAGUAACAUAUAAUUGAGUGCAAUGUUGGUAUUAUAUGGCCGAGUGUUUUGUCUGUAAUGUAACAUGUCAAGCUUCAAGAGUAACAUAUAAUGAAGUGUAUUGGCAGUAUUAUGUGGUCAAAUGUAACGUCUGUAUCACAUCAUAGCUAUUAUGGUAAACAUAUGGUCAAGUGAAAUGUCGGCAACAUUUCAUGUGUAAAUUUUUGCAGAAACAUUGUCAAGUGGUCAAGUGUAAUGUCAGUAGCAUAUGAUCAAUUGUAAUGUCAGCAAGAUAUCAUGGUCAAGUGUAAUGUCGAUUACAUAUCGUCAAGUGUAUUGUCAUCAGUUUUUUUAAGCUGUCAGUCCUGCCAAUUUGACCAUCGUUAUUUAUGAAAUACAAGGAAUUGUCUGCUGUGUGAAGUCUUAUUCCUGCCUUAAAUGAACAUAAAGACAAUGUUUUGCAAUUUUUUUGCAUUUAGUCAUACAUGUAUGUAAUGUUUUUAUUGUAAAACUUUCAUCUGGUGCAGCAUACACCAUCUGUUUUUUUUUAAGUCCAUGUGCAGCUAUAUAUAUAUAAAUAUAUGUACUGUCUUAUAGUCUACAUAUCUAUAUGUGCUACAUUCUCAUUUAAGUGUGGCUUAAUGUUUGGUUUAUAUUUUAUCAUAAGUAUGUGCUAUAAAAUAUUAAUACAUUAAUACUUUUUAUAAGCUUCUACUGCUACCUUAGUCUUAGUAUACUGCUAUACAUGUUAUAGCAUCAUUUUUUUGGGUUCAAAUCUAGAAUAGUUGGAACUGUCAAAAGGUCCUGUCCAAUACAAAUUAACUUGCUGCAAAAUUUCAUGAAGACAUAUUUAUCAGGCAAAAGUUUGACUCUAAAAUAUUCCAAAUCUGUCAGUAGGGUUGCUUUUAGCUUGCCAUUUUUUAAAGCUGAAUUUUCAAUGUUUUAUAAAACAUGUAAUGAUGAAUCCAUUCUUACAAAGGUAGUUCUUAAUCAAUCUUCAAUUCCAGAUUUUGUAGCUUAAUUUUUUGAUUUGUGUUAUCAGUGGAAAAAUAUCAAUAAAUAUAGAUGCAUUGUGAAGAGCGGUAUGUGCCAAAAGCUCAUAUUGGAAAACAUAAUUUAAUGUCCUGCAAUUUUUUUCCCCAUAAUAUGUCUGAUAAUGUAUUAUUUAUGAUUAAACUUUUGCAUGUUAGCAGGUUACAUGUAUGUCAGAUUAUGUAGUGUUUGUAAUUUAUAAUGUAUGUAAAUAUAUUAUAUAAUGGCUGAAGCUGCAUGACCUUGAAAAUAAAUGAGCAGACAUGGUUUCAAUUUAAAAUCAACAUACA